rnacentral:rRNA from 1 species
UACGGAGGGUGCAAGCGUUAUCCGGAUUCACUGGGUUUAAAGGGUGCGUAGGUGGGUUGGUAAGUCAGUGGUGAAAUCUCCAGGCUUAACUUGGAAACUGCCAUUGAUACUAUCAAUCUUGAAUACCGUGGAGGUCAGCGGAAUAUGUCAUGUAGCGGUGAAAUGCUUAGAGAUGACAUAGAACACCAAUUGCGAAGGCAGCUGGCUAGACGAAUAUUGACACUGAUGCACGAAAGCGUGGGGAUCAAACAGG